rnacentral:rRNA from 1 species
GAUGAACGCUGGCGGCGUGCCUAAUACAUGCAAGUCGAGCGAACAGACGAGGAGCUUGCUCCUCUGACGUUAGCGGCGGACGGGUGAGUAACACGUGGAUAACCUACCUAUAAGACUGGGAUAACUUCGGGAAACCGGAGCUAAUCCCGGAGAAUAUAUUGAACCGCAUGGUUCAAUAGUGAAAGACGGUUUUGCUGUCACUUAUAGAUGGAUCCGCGCCGCAUUAGCUAGUUGGUAAGGUAACGGCUUACGAAGGCAACGAUGCGUAGCCGACCUGAGAGGGUGAUCGGCCACACGGGAACUGAGACACGGUCCAUACGCCUACGGGAGGCAGCAGUAGGGAAUCUUCCGCAAUGGGCGAAAGCUUGACGGAGCAACGCCGCGUGAGUGAUGAAGGUCUUCGGAUCGUAAAACUCUGUUAUUAGGGAAGAACAAAUGUGUAAGUAACUAUGCACGUCUUGACGGUACCUGAUCAGAAAGCCACGGCUAACUACGUG